AGUGAACGCUGGCGGUAGGCCUAACACAUGCAAGUCGAACGGCAGCACAGUAAGAUCUUGCUCUUACGGGUGGCGAGUGGCGGACGGGUGAGGAAUACAUCGGAAUCUACUUUUUCGUGGGGGAUAACGUAGGGAAACUUACGCUAAUACCUCAUACGACCUACGGGUGAAAGCAGGGGAUCUUCUGACCUUGCGCGAUUGUAUUAGCCGAUGUCGGAUUAGCUAGUUGGCUGGGUAAAGGCCCACCAAGGCGACGCUCCGUAGCUGGUCUGAGAGGAUGAUCAGCCACACUGGAACUGAGACACGGUCCAGACUCCUACGGGAGGCAGCAGUGGGGAAUAUUGGACAAUGGGCGCAAGCCUGAUCCAGCAAUACCGCGUGGGUGAAGAAGGCCUUCGGGUUGUAAAGCCCUUUUGUUGGGAAAGAAAAGCAGCAGGUUAAUACCCCGCUGUUCUGACGGUACCCAAAGAAUAAGCACCGGCUAACUUCGUG
rnacentral:rRNA from 1 species